AACUAUAACGGUCCUAAGGUAGCGAAAUUCCUUGUCGGGUAAGUUCCGACCCGCAUGAAAGGCGUAAUGAUUUGGGCACUGUCUCAACGAGGGGCCCGGUGAAAUUGAAAUACCUGUGAAGAUGCAGGUUACCCGCGACUGGACAGAAAGACCCCAUGGAGCUUCACUGCAGCUUGAGAUUGAAUCCCGGUGACAGAUGCACAGGAUAGGUGGGAGGCGCCGAAGCAUUGCCCUAGGGCGGUGCGGAGCCGAUGUUGGGAUACCACCCUUCUGUUGCUGAGAUUCUAACGCGAGGAGUAACGACCCUGCGGACCCUCUCAGGCAGGCGGUUUGACUGGGGCGGUCGCCUCCGAAAGAGUAACGGAGGCGCCCAAAGGUUCCCUCAGGCCGGACAGAAACCGGCCGAAGAGUGCAAAGGCAGAAGGGAGCUUGACUGCGAGACCAACAAGUCGAGCAGAGACGAAAGUCGGGCUUAGUGAUCCGGUGGUACUGAGUGGAAAGGCCAUCGCUCAACGGAUAAAAGCUACCCUGGGGAUAACAGGCUAAUCUCUCCCAAGAGUUCAUAUCGACGGGGAGGUUUGGCACCUCGAUGUCGGCUCAUCACAUCCUGGGGCUGAAGUAGGUCCCAAGGGUAUGGCUGUUCGCCAUUUAAAGUGGUACGCGAGCUGGGUUUAGAACGUCGUGAGACAGUUCGGUCCCUAUCUGCCGUGGGCGUUGGAGAAUUGAAAGGGGCUGCUCCUAGUACGAGAGGACCGGAGUGGACGCACCACUGGUGUUCCGGUUGUGUCGCCAGACGCAUUGCCGGGUAGCUAAGUGCGGAAGAGAUAAGUGCUGAAAGCAUCUAAGCACGAAACUUGCCAAGAGAUGAGUUCUCCCUGUCUUUAAGACAGUAAGGGUUGUUUAAGACUAAGACGUAGAUAGGUCUGGUGUGUAAGCGGUGCGAGCCGUUGAGCUAACAGAUACUAAUUGCCCGAGAGGCUUAACUAU
rnacentral:rRNA from 1 species